rnacentral:sRNA from 1 species
AUGAUCUCUCCGAUUCCGAAACCGAAAAUGGAUCCCCUUAAUCCACUUGAAUAUCGUCCAAUUUCAUUAAUAUCAGUGCCGUGCAAAAUAUAUGCGGAUAUUUUGAAUAAAAGAUUGACAAAUUGGUUAGAACAAAAUGACAUGUUAGCAGAAGAGCAAAAUGGAUUUAGACGUAACCGAAGCUGUUUGGAUCAUUUAUAUAUACUAACAACAAUUAUUAAAAAUAGAAAGUUACAAAGGAAAGAUUCUUUCGUGUGCUUUGUGGAUGCGAAGAAGGCUUUUGAUAAUGUUAAUCGGGACAUGUUGUGGUAUAAGCUGAUGAAAAUUGGUAUUAACGGAACGUUUCUAAAAGCAAUUCAGUCUCUUUACGAUGCGACACAAAGUGCUGUAAAAUUAGGAAACAAUUUGACAGAUAUUUUCCCGGUUCAAUACGGUGUGAAACAAGGCUGUAAAAUGUCUCCUACUUUGUAUUCUAUAUAUGUUAACGAUCUUGCGGAUGAUAUUCGCUCGCUUAAUGCUGGUGUAGAUAUUGGUGACUUAAAUGUGUCUAUUCUUCUUUACGCUGACGAUGUUGCGUUGAUAGCUCCAAAUGAGCAGAAUUUACAAAAGAUGUUGGACUGUUUAAACACCUGGUGUAGGAAAUGGAGAAUGACUCUAAAUACAGAAAAAACGAAGGUUAUUCAUUUUCGUAAUAAAAACAUGUCUAGAUCUGCCGUUGAAAUUUAA